rnacentral:tRNA from 2 species
GGCUGUGGUGCAGCGCUGGGAUGGUGACCAUCGGGCUCAUAACCCGAAGGUCGCAGGUUCAAAUCCUGCCCCCGCCCCCA